rnacentral:rRNA from 1 species
AACGAACGCUGGCGGCGUGCUUAACACAUGCAAGUCGAACGCGAAAGGGACUUCGGUCCCGAGUAAAGUGGCGCACGGGUGAGUAACGCGUAGAUAACCUGUCUUCGAGUCUGGAAUAAUACACCGAAAGGGGUACUAAUACCGGAUAUUCUUGCAUUUCAUAAGGAGUGUAAGCAAAGGUGGCCUCUGUAUAUGCUACUGCUUGAUGAGGGGUCUGCGUACCAUUAGCUAGUAGGUGGGGUAAUGGCCCACCUAGGCUACGAUGGUUAGCGGGUCUGAGAGGAUGAUCCGCCACACUGGCACUGGAACACGGGCCAGACUCCUACGGGAGGCAGCAGUGAGGAAUAUUGCGCAAUGGGGGGCAACCCUGACGCAGCGACGCCGCGUGAGUGAGGAAGGCCUGGGUCGUAAGACUCUGUCAAGGAAAGGAAAUAGUAUAAUAGGCGUAAUACCU